rnacentral:lncRNA from 1 species
UAAACCCGACAAGUUUUAGCCCAAUGUUGCUAGAAAUUCACCCACGGGUCUGAGCACCCUUCGUCGGGAAUCCACCCAUUUCUGAAACACUUACCCUUGAUCACCACUACCAAAACACCUCCCUUGGACCCAGGAACAAGACCCAAGCAUUGGUAGUGGCGGCGGAGCACUGUGCACCCAUUUCUAGGGUUCCAGUGGGUUCGAAGUGAUUUGAGGCUUUUCUCGAUCAAAUUGGACUUAGCCACAUG